UACAGAGGGUGCGAGCGUUAAUCGGAAUUACUGGGCGUAAAGCGCACGUAGGUGGCGACGUAAGUCGGGUGUGAAGGCCCCGGGCUCAACCUGGGAAUUGCAUUCGAGACUGCAUUGCUGGAGUACGGAAGAGGAAGGCGGAAUUCCCGGUGUAGCGGUGAAAUGCGUAGAUAUCAGGAGGAACACCAAUGGCGAAGGCAGCACUCUGGGACGUGACUGACGCUGAGACGCGAAAGCCAGGGGAGCAAACGGG
rnacentral:rRNA from 1 species